ACUGGUGUGGUGCGAAUGGUAGACGCUAAAAAGUCCAUUUAGAAGGAUGUCUCUAAAUUCAGUUGAAAUAUACGUUUGGAAUAAACCUUAGGGAAGGGUUUGCGGGUUCGAGUCCCGCCACCAGUU
rnacentral:tRNA from 1 species